rnacentral:tRNA from 1 species
GGUGGUGUAGCUCAGUGGUAGAAUGCCUACUUAGUGUGCAUGAGGCCCUGGGUUCAAUCCCCAGCACUGCAA